ensembl:snRNA U6 U6 spliceosomal RNA
GUGCUCCCUUCAGCAGCACAUAUACUAAAAUUGGAAUGAUACAGAGAAGAUUAGCAUGGCCCCCUGCACAAGGAUGACAUGCAAAUUCAUGAAGCGUUCCAUAUUUUG